rnacentral:lncRNA from 1 species
CAUCUCAAUUUUUUGAGUUUGUGCAUGAGUAGGUCCAGCAAGCUCAAACCCAACAAGCUCGUAGACCAUAAAAUAAUUCAUAUUCGAACACUUAUAACUCCAGCAGGAGAAACCAUCUCUGGAGACCACAGCCAGUGGUUGGCCCUGUUGUACCUAGACCUAACUAUCAAGAUCUGACAUAUAGGCAUGGACCAUACCACC